CCAUUUUCACCCGUGAAGGUCCGGAUUAGAAAUGGUCUUCAGCAACGCAUCCUUUCGAAAGAGGCGACUAACGGGAUUGGAUGGUCAGACUCGCUGACUUGGUUGACACAUGUCAUCGUAUCCCAGUUGCGUAGAUCGAUGCUCUUGCUGUUGGUCAAUGGA